GAAGGUCAGCGACCGGAACCUCCUGCUGCCCUGGAAGGACCCUGCCGAGAACGGGGCGGCGCUCC
rnacentral:ribozyme from 1 species